rnacentral:rRNA from 1 species
GACGAACGCUGGCGGCGUGCUUAACACAUGCAAGUCGAACGGUAAGGCCCUUUCGGGGGUACACGAGUGGCGAACGGGUGAGUAACACGUGGGUGAUCUGCCCUGCACUUUGGGAUAAGCCUGGGAAACUGGGUCUAAUACCGGAUAGGACUACGCGAUGCAUGUCGUGUGGUGGAAAGCUUUUGCGGUGUGGGAUGGGCCCGCGGCCUAUCAGCUUGUUGGUGGGGUGAUGGCCUACCAAGGCGACGACGGGUAGCCGGCCUGAGGGGGUGUCCGGCCACACUGGGACUGAGAUACGGCCCAGACUCCUACGGGAGGCAGCAGUGGGGAAUAUUGCACAAUGGGCGCAAGCCUGAUGCAGCGACGCCGCGUGGGGGAUGACGGCCUUCGGGUUGUAAACCCCUUUCAGCACAGACGAAGCGUAAGUGACGGUAUGUGCAGAAGAAGCACCGGCCAACUACGUG